UACGAGUGCCCCAAGCGUUAUCCGGAAUUAUUGGGCGUAAAGGGUGUGUAGGUGGUUUUGUUAGUCUUCUGUUAAAGCUCCCGGCUUAACCGGGAAAAUGCAGAGGAAACGGCAAGACUAGAGGAUGUGAGAGGUAAGCGGAACUCAUGGUGUAGAGGUGAAAUUCGUAGAUAUUCGCAAGAACACCAGUGGCGAAGGCGGCUCACUGGCCCGGUACUGACGCUGAGAUGCGAAAGCGUGGGGAGCAAACAGG
rnacentral:rRNA from 1 species